rnacentral:rRNA from 1 species
GAUGAACGCUAGCGGCAGGCUUAAUACAUGCAAGUCGAGGGGUAGCAAGAUUGUAGCAAUACAGAUGCUGGCGACCGGCAAACGGGUGCGGAACACGUACAGAACCUUCCUUCGAGUGGGAGAUAGCCCAGGGAAACUUGGAGUAAUACCCCAUAGGAUAGUAGAGUGGCAUCACUUAGCUAUUAAAGAUUCAUCGCUCGAAGAUGGCUGUGCGGCUGAUUAGGUAGUUGGCGGGGUAAUGGCCCACCAAGCCUUCGAUCAGUAACUGGUGUGAGAGCACGACCAGUCACACGGGCACUGAGACACGGGCCCGACUCCUACGGGAGGCAGCAGUAAGGAAUAUUGGGCAAUGGAGGCAACUCUGACCCAGCCAUGCCGCGUGGAGGAUGAAGGUCCUCUGGAUUGUAAACUUCUUUUAUUUGGGAAGAAAUGCCGACUUUCUAGUUGGUUUGACGGUACCAGAUGAAUAAGCACCGGCUAACUCCGUGCCAGCCGCCGCUGUAAUAC